rnacentral:hammerhead_ribozyme from 1 species
AUUCAGCUGACGAGUCCCAUAUAGGACGAAACGCGCGUCCUGGAU